rnacentral:lncRNA from 1 species
GACUUUCUUUGCUGGCUUGGGGUCCUGGAAGCCUUUUCGCAGUACAAACUCCCUUCUGUCCCCUCUUGCUACGAUCCUACGGUGUGCAGGUAGCUCUAUACUAGUAAAUAAUGCAGGGCUGAGGGAUGGGCUCUGGCACUGGCCCAAGAUUACCCACCGGGUUUUGGUGUCAGCAUGCACCUGGCAUACUGGAGCCGUGCCAGACCGAGCUCUUCCACAUCAUGCCUGUGCAUGCUGUGGAGAUUUCAUGUGGCAGAUGCGGCUAUUUCGACAUGGCUACUCUGCUUUGGAAGAAAGUAAAUUUUGCCCUUGUGGACACGUGUUAUUAUGCCAUGCCAGUUGGCCUCAGAGUAAAGAACAGUCUCCUGAACUGUUUUACUGAAUAUUAUAGAUAUGCCACAAAAUCCCGUGGAACCCAUACAUAAGGCUGCUCUUCUUUGCUUUAACAUUGUGCUGCGUAAAGAGAGGAGCACACCCAGCUGGGCGAAAGAAAUACAGUACACGGUCUCUCUGCAGGUCUUCUCACUUCUGAUAGUUGGAACAGAGAAGAAAUUCAAGCGGUGUUAUCUCCGAUCUGAGACAGAAACGGGGAGAGGAAUAAAGAAGAAGUCACAAAGAGACUAAGAAUGGGACACAAAAUUAGCAGAUUUUGGAGAUUCUUUCUGCCACCGUUACGAUGUAAAUGAGGAGAGCUGCUCCCACUACUUAAUAAUGAUUUUGAAUUGGCUUUGGGUUUGAGCUGGAAAAUUAAGACAUCCUCAAUACUAAGAGAAGGAGCUUUAGGAGGGAGAAAUGCUGUCACCUACCACAGGUGCCUCUGCAUUGCUUGCAGGCCUCCACCGCCCCCAUCUUCCCUACAGACUAUCAAAGGAAUUAGGAUUUGGAAGGAUGGAUGCACAGAGCACCUAACGUUUAAAUCUUUACGCAGCUUUUACUCCCAGUCAGGAGACCAACAGCAAGCCCAGGCACUGAAAUCUCCUGCCUCCUAUUUGCUCACGUCCCCUCCUUGUCAAGUGGUAGGAAAGACCCAGGUCAAAGUCUUACAGGACUGUGGUAAGCGGUGUGUGACCCCAUCCCCAGGGACACUCAUUUUGUACCCUGUUUCACUGCAGAAGUCCCCUGGCUGUGGGUUUUUUGUUUUUUUUUUUUGGCGGGGGCAGGGGGGAGAGGGGCAGGUUUGGGCCCAAAGAAAUUACAUUCUCUCAUUGUUUGACACACGGGUAAAGGAAAAGCAUGGAAAACAUCAGCCCACUUUUUUAUGCUACACCAAAAAGGAUGAAGCAGAUGUUUUUAAGUAAACAUGGGCUCUUGUUAUGCAUUUUUGAGAAGUCAAGAGAAGCUUUUUCAGAAGCAGGAGUAGCCCAUGAAUUUAAAGGAGUUUUAAAUACUGUACUUUCCCAUAAAGCUAUAAAACUCUGGCAGAAAGCUCAGCAGCCAAUCAAUGAGGAAUGAACCUGAGCAUGUUAUAACUCAGAUUACCAAUAAAAAUGUCAGGCUGAAAUCA